GAGCGGCGGACGGGUGAGUAAUGCCUAGGAAAUUGCCCUGAUGUGGGGGAUAACCAUUGGAAACGAUGGCUAAUACCGCAUAAUGCCUACGGGCCAAAGAGGGGGACCUUCGGGCCUCUCGCGUCAGGAUAUGCCUAGGUGGGAUUAGCUAGUUGGUGAGGUAAUGGCUCACCAAGGCGACGAUCCCUAGCUGGUCUGAGAGGAUGAUCAGCCACACUGGAACUGAGACACGGUCCAGACUCCUACGGGAGGCAGCAGUGGGGAAUAUUGCACAAUGGGCGCAAGCCUGAUGCAGCCAUGCCGCGUGUGUGAAGAAGGCCUUCGGGUUGUAAAGCACUUUCAGUCGUGAGGAAGGUGGUGGUGUUAAUAGCACUAUCAUUUGACGUUAGCGACAGAAGAAGCACCGGCUAACUCCGUGCCAGCAGCCGCGGUAAUACGGAGGGUGCGAGCGUUAAUCGGAAUUACUGGGCGUAAAGCGCAUGCAGGUGGUUUGUUAAGUCAGAUGUGAAAGCCCGGGGCUCAACCUCGGAAUAGCAUUUGAAACUGGCAGACUAGAGUACUGUAGAGGGGGGUAGAAUUUCAGGUGUAGCGGUGAAAUGCGUAGAGAUCUGAAGGAAUACCGGUGGCGAAGGCGGCCCCCUGGACAGAUACUGACACUCAGAUGCGAAAGCGUGGGGAGCAAACAGGAUUAGAUACCCUGGUAGUCCACGCCGUAAACGAUGUCUACUUGGAGGUUGUGGCCUUGAGCCGUGGCUUUCGGAGCUAACGCGUUAAGUAGACCGCCUGGGGAGUACGGUCGCAAGAUUAAAACUCAAAUGAAUUGACGGGGGCCCGCACAAGCGGUGGAGCAUGUGGUUUAAUUCGAUGCAACGCGAAGAACCUUACCUACUCUUGACAUCCAGAGAACUUUCCAGAGAUGGAUUGGUGCCUUCGGGAACUCUGAGACAGGUGCUGCAUGGCUGUCGUCAGCUCGUGUUGUGAAAUGUUGGGUUAAGUCCCGCAACGAGCGCAACCCUUAUCCUUGUUUGCCAGCGAGUAAUGUCGGGAACUCCAGGGAGACUGCCGGUGAUAAACCGGAGGAAGGUGGGGACGACGUCAAGUCAUCAUGGCCCUUACGAGUAGGGCUACACACGUGCUACAAUGGCGCAUACAGAGGGCAGCAAGCUAGCGAUAGUGAGCGAAUCCCAAAAAGUGCGUCGUAGUCCGGAUUGGAGUCUGCAACUCGACUCCAUGAAGUCGGAAUCGCUAGUAAUCGUGGAUCAGAAUGCCACGGUGAAUACGUUCCCGGGCCUUGUACACACCGCCCGUCACACCAUGGGAGUGGG
rnacentral:rRNA from 1 species